CCUACGGGAGGCAGCAGUGGGGAAUAUUGCACAAUGGGGGGAACCCUGAUGCAGCAACGCCGCGUGGGUGAAGAAGUACUCCGGUAUGUAAAGCCCUGUCAGCAGGGAAGAAAAUGACGGUACCUGACCAAGAAGCCCCGGCUAACUACGUGCCAGCAGCCGCGGUAAUACGUAGGGGGCAAGCGUUAUCCGGAUUUACUGGGUGUAAAGGGAGCGUAGACGGCAAGGCAAGUCUGGAGUGAAAGCCCGGGGCCCAACCACGGGACUGCUUUGGAAACUGUGUUGCUGGAGUGCAGGAGGGGUAAGCGGAAUUCCUAGUGUAGCGGUGAAAUGCGUAGAUAUUAGGAGGAACACCGGUGGCGAAGGCGGCUUACUGGACUGUAACUGACGUUGAGGCUCGAAGGCGUGGGGAGCAAACAGGAUUAGAUACCCUAGUAGUC
rnacentral:rRNA from 1 species